rnacentral:snRNA from 1 species
GGAUGUGAGGUCAUCUGGCUGUGACAUCUGUCACCCCACUGGUCGCCAGGGUUGACUCGGCUGAUCUGGCCGGCUAGGCGGGUGACCCCUUCCUCCCUCACCGCUCCAUGUGCGUCUGUCCUGAAGCUGCACGCUCAGUCGAACAGAACGGCCUUCCCCGAAUAGAGACGGACCGGUCCGAGCGUAUGAGCAGCUGCGCUCCCCUGCUAGGACCUCUGAACAAGCUCUCAGGAAUAUCUUGUCUGCAGGGGUGUCUGUCCAGCUCUUCCCCAUAUUUUAGUGGGGUUGCCUGGAUUUUCUGUUCUUG